GGGAAACAGGUUAAUAUUCCUGUACUUGGUGUUACUGCGAAGGGGGGACGGAGAAGGCUAUGUUGGCCGGGCGACGGUUGUCCCGGUUUAAGCGUGUAGGCUGGUUUUCCAGGCAAAUCCGGAAAAUCAAGGCUGAGGCGUGAUGACGAGGCACUACGGUGCUGAAGCAACAAAUGCCCUGCUUCCAGGAAAAGCCUCUAAGCAUCAGGUAACAUCAAAUCGUACCCCAAACCGACACAGGUGGUCAGGUAGAGAAUACCAAGGCGCUUGAGAGAACUCGGGUGAAGGAACUAGGCAAAAUGGUGCCGUAACUUCGGGAGAAGGCACGCUGAUAUGUAGGUGAAGCGACUUGCUCGUGGAGCUGAAAUCAGUCGAAGAUACCAGCUGGCUGCAACUGUUUAUUAAAAACACAGCACUGUGCAAACACGAAAGUGGACGUAUACGGUGUGACGCCUGCCCGGUGCCGGAAGGUUAAUUGAUGGGGUUAGCGCAAGCGAAGCUCUUGAUCGAAGCCCCGGUAAACGGCGGCCGUAACAAUAACGGUCCUAAGGUAGCGAAAUUCCUUGUCGGGUAAGUUCCGACCUGCACGAAUGGCGUAAUGAUGGCCAGGCUGUCUCCACCCGAGACUCAGUGAAAUUGAACUCGCUGUGAAGAUGCAGUGUACCCGCGGCAAGACGGAAAGACCCCGUGAACCUUUACUAUAGCUUGACACUGAACAUUGAGCCUUGAUGUGUAGGAUAGGUGGGAGGCUUUGAAGUGUGGACGCCAGUCUGCAUGGAGCCGACCUUGAAAUACCACCCUUUAAUGUUUGAUGUUCUAACGUUGACCCGUAAUCCGGGUUGCGGACAGUGUCUGGUGGGUAGUUUGACUGGGGCGGUCUCCUCCUAAAGAGUAACGGAGGAGCACGAAGGUUGGCUAAUCCUGGUCGGACAUCAGGAGGUUAGUGCAAUGGCAUAAGCCAGCUUGACUGCGAGCGUGACGGCGCGAGCAGGUGCGAAAGCAGGUCAUAGUGAUCCGGUGGUUCUGAAUGGAAGGGCCAUCGCUCAACGGAUAAAAGGUACUCCGGGGAUAACAGGCUGAUACCGCCCAAGAGUUCAUAUCGACGGCGGUGUUUGGCACCUCGAUGUCGGCUCAUCACAUCCUGGGGCUGAAGUAGGUCCCAAGGGUAUGGCUGUUCGCCAUUUAAAGUGGUACGCGAGCUGGGUUUAGAACGUCGUGAGACAGUUCGGUCCCUAUCUGCCGUGGGCGCUGGAGAACUGAGGGGGGCUGCUCCUAGUACGAGAGGACCGGAGUGGACGCAUCACUGGUGUUCGGGUUGUCAUGCCAAUGGCACUGCCCGGUAGCUAAAUGCGGAAGAGAUAAGUGCUGAAAGCAUCUAAGCACGAAACUUGCCCCGAGAUGAGUUCUCCCUGACUCCUUGAGAGUCCUGAAGGAACGUUGAAGACGACGACGUUGAUAGGCCGGGUGUGUAAGCGCAGCGAUGCGUUGAGCUAACCGGUACUAAUGAACUG
rnacentral:rRNA from 1 species